UAUUGGUCAAUGGGCGCGAGCCUGAACCAGCCAAGUCGCGUGAGGGAUGACGGCCCUACGGGUUGUAAACCUCUUUUGUCGGGGAGCAAAUUCCGCCACGUGUGGCGGAGUCGAGAGUACCCGAAGAAAAAGCAUCGGCUCACUCCGUGCAAGCAGCCGCGGUAAUACGGAGGAUGCGAGCGUUAUCCGGAUUUAUUGGGUUUAAAGGGUGCGCGGGCGGUCUGUUAAGUCAGCGGUCAAAGCCCGGGGUUCAACCCCGGCCCGCCGUUGAAACUGGCAGUCUCGAGUUGGAGAGAAGUAUGCGGAAUGCGCGGUGUAGCGGUGAAAUGCAUAGAUAUCGCGCAGAACUCCGGUUGCGAAGGCAGCAUGCCGGCUUCACACUGACGCUGAGGCACGAAAGCGUGGGUAUCG
rnacentral:rRNA from 1 species